CCAUGCGCGUACGAGUUAAUUAACUAUGAGUAAAAGUGUCUAACGAAGCAACGAAAAAUUAGAGAGAACCAUUUUCGAGAAAGCCGACACGGGGCUUGGCCCCGAGUAAAAGUAAAAUCAUGAAUCAAUGCGAGGCCGAGUCUUGGAGAAGUCUGCGCGGCGUGUCGAUCGCGCAUACGUAAUUUGUUAUACCUACGUAAUCCAGACCAAACCUUGCCGCAGAUGAACGAACGGCUAAAUGGAAGGUAAAACAAACAUCCAGCAGCACGAUCAGUGGCAUCAAACUUGAUCAGUGGAUCGUUAGAGCGAGCCGCGCGCGACGAGAAAGUUAAUAAAAACUACGCGAGAUCCACUUGAUAAAUAUUAGAAAAAACUCAAGCGUUCGUUAUAUCCAGGUCCAUCCGGCAUCCACCCAUCUCAAUGAUACUCACGCAUGAUAAUCGGCACCGAUCGACAUCAAUGAAUAUUCAUCACCGUACGUCCACUGAUUUUUGAACGGCUUUGCCGCACCGUCGGCGUCACAGUCUGUGAACCAUGUGCACAACCGCUUCAACAUCCGUCCGCAGACGAUACGACGUCUUAAUUCCACAACGUUAGAGCUGCAGUGUCUGGAUGCCGCCUCUGCCACUUGAGCAGGUACCCGAUAGUAUCUCCCAGAAGCUCACUUCUCUGGUCAAGUCUUCGUCAAGUCUUCGAGAUGACUCUCCGGAAGUCAAGUGGGCAUCUCACACUCCAAACGCAUCAUUCGCCUUGGGGAUUCAUCCACGAUGAGGCUCUUUGGAGGUGGAAAGUCAGGAUGAGGAACCGUGCAGAGUUUCGGAGACCGUCACACUUCAGGAUCUACGACAUUCCAGCCACGCGGUUCGACGACCUUCCAGCUCUUCUCAUUAUCAGAAUAAGGUCCGAAAUACGAACUUCUACAUUACGUUGAACUCGAAGUUUUCGACCGGAUGUCCAGAUCGAUCUUGAGAGGAACAGCCAACGAAGAUCGGCGGUGAGGCGGGGUAAUACCCGGGGGAUUACCGGACUUAGGAACUGAUUUAUUCUACCGUCUUAAGACAGCAGCAGGUGCAGCGUUCGUUGGGCUAGGUUCAAACGUGCGGAAAUAGGCACGCCACUUCUGGCAGAUUUAUCGGAGCGAAAAUCGCCGUGCUCUAUCUCUCUGCACGGGAAGCUCCGUUUUUCUAAUUUCAGCUCACAAACUUCGUCAGAAAAGUUGAACAGCAAGCCAAAACCCUUAAGGCACUUUUCCUCGGAACCAUCCGUUUGCAAUUACUCGAACGGUUGGCUAAACGAGCUAAAACGAUUUCUGGGAAAGAUCUGCAAUCUCCGGUUGACUCAUGGAAUUCCAGGUAGCCAAACUCGUUUCGACACUUGAGAAAGAAUUUUAUCCGUAUGAUCCACUUCCGCCUGCAAUGGAUAGCUGGAACUCUGAUGAUGUAAGAGAAGCGAUGUUGCAUCGCUUUAAGUCACGAUAUCCAAUUCGAUAAUCUAUAGUGACCGUCAAUGAUCUUUCAACACUUUCGAUCGAUCUAUCUUAGCUUCAUAAUUGGAAGCAAUUUUGGGUGUGUGCUUUCAAGUGUAUCUAACUUGCCACCUAGUAAUUCGUCAUUUUCAUUGAUAGGAGACGUUAACGUUGUAACCCAAUAUUGCCUUCAAGUUGCAUUAUCAGCCUAACGAUGAAUGCGCGUAUUUUCAGUUCGAAAAUAACCAAUCAUGCAAAACUUUGCACAGGGUUCGGUUACGCUGUCGCGAAAUCGUGGAUGGGACAAAAGGGUUUGAACAACAUCCGGAGGAUUUGAAAAAGUAGUUUUUAUUACAGUCAAUCGUUAGUAUUUCUUAGGCUGCUGGUUUCGCGUCUGUUGAUUGAACAGUGUCGUUUCCGGCCUGAGUCUUGGGGGUGGUUUGGUGGGUUCUUCUUCUUCCGGAACUUCCGUCGUUGACGGCUGCUUGGCGAUCCACUCAAGCGCCCUUUGUAUGGCGAUGGGAAUCGGGGGUGGCGUGGGAAGAUGAGCCCCGGCGACUUGGGUGCCAAAUUCGUCGGCUGUCCAGCUCAAUGAAAUCGGAGUACCGUCGGGUGCGUUGUAUUGCACAGAGCCCUGGAUCAGUUGGGUCUCGUCCGAUGUUCCGGCGUAUUUCCGGCUCCCGACUUCCUUCUGCAGGAUUCCACCCUCCGUCUCGUAGUUGAACGAAUAGUGCCCUUUAUUGUCACCAAGGUUGUGCUCUGCGGAAAUCACCUUCUCCGGCUCCCGGAAGUACUCCUGACUCGAUGAUAAUCCGGCGCUGAAGGCCAACAACUGAAAGAAAAAUCCCUUACAGAUCUCGCGAAUUCACAUAGACGAAUGCUACUACAGCGGUUGUCAAUCACUGCAGAUCUACAAGGCCACCCGAAGCGUUGCAGUUGAAGGAGACCGGAAUGAAAAUUGCGCCAGAGGGGUUGAAGAGAGAAGAGGUGG